AUCAGAUGAAGUCCAGGGAGUAAAAGGAUUAAAAAUUCUCCAAGGAAAUACAUUCUAAGUCUGACAAUCUUUUAAAUAAUCUAUCCAAGGAAUUUUAUAUCUUACCAGUGAAUUUGCUCUUUCAAAGUUUGGUAUAAUAACAACUGAUAUUUACAUAGUGCUUAUUUGGGGCUAGGGACUAGUCUAAGUGCUUUUAAAAAAUUAUAUAUUAAAUCCUCGAAUUCUCAUAGCAACUCUAUUAAGUAGGUCCUAUAUUUACUCCUAUUUUAAAAAUGAGGCAACUAAGGCACAGAGAGAAUCAGUAACUCACCUAAGUUUUCACAGUGAGUAAAGGCAUAAUCAGGAGUUGAAUUCAAAUAGUCUAGCUUUGAGGCUUAAGAUACUUCACUUUCAUCAGAAAAAAGAGAGAAUUUAAAGGCAGAUAAAGAAGGAUCAGUCAUUUUUGCCCAAUGGUUUAGGUGACCACACUUCAUGUCUCAGUGACAAAAAUGAAUCCAGUGUUCCAACCAGCACUAAUACUCUGUGGCUCUGGAAUCCACUUCUCCUUCCCUUUAUUCUUACCAUGGUCUCCUCACCUGACAGUCUGCUCCAUAUGCCUGCUGGUGUCUAUGGGCUGAUUAUAUUUGAAAUGAUGCUGAGGAGUGUGGCAUAGGUCCAGUCAUAAGAAAGCCACUCCAUCAGAGUGGAGCCCUCAGCUGGGGUUUCUAGAUGGGUUGGAACAAGUCACUUUCUUUUUAGAUCUGUAAGGGGAACCCACACAUGGACUCUGGUUAAGCAGUAUGUCAUUUUCCACAACUCAGCUCGUGAUUGCCAAAUUUCUAUGCAAAGGCGACAUUGUAUGAAAAAUCAGAUGCUUUUUUGUCUGAUUAAAGUUAAGCAUAAAAAUAUUAUGGAUCCAUAAGAAUAGAAUAACAGUGGUACCUGGGCGGUUGAGUUGGAUAAGCGUCUGACUCUUGGUUUCAGCUCAGGUCAUGAUCUCACAGUUUGUGAGAUUGAGCCUUGAGUCAGACUCUGCACUGACAGGUUGGAGCCUGCUUGGGAUUCUCUUUCUCCCUCUUUCUCUGCCCCUCCCCCACUCAAGUUAUCUCUCUCUCUCUCUCUCUCUCUCUCUCUCUCCAAAUAAAUAAGUGAACUUUAUUUAUUUUUUUUAAUUUUUUUUAACGUUUAUUUUUGAGACAGAGAGAGACAGAGCGUGAACAGGGGAGGGGCAGAGAGAGAGGGAGACACAGAAUCUGAAACAGGCUCCAGGCUCUGAGCAGUCAGCACAGAGCCCGACGCGGGGCUCGAACUCACGGAUCGUGAGAUCACGACCUGAGCCGAAGUCAGACGCUUAACCGACCGAGCCACCCAGGCGCCCCUAAAUAAGUAAACUUUAAAAAAAGAAUAGAAUAACAAACUUCAGGAAAAUUUUCGAUCUGAGAUUACGGACUAAUAACGGAGUUGAGCAACUCAACUAGAUGAUAGUGCUGCAGAGUGAAGAGAAUAGACUAUAACAGGAAGAGAUACUAGCUAGCUGAGCUCAUCCAGGUUGCAAAACAAAUCUUUGUCAUUAACUUGUUUAUUUUCUGUUUCACUUUAUGACUCUUUUUCUUACUAUUUUAAUAGUUUUUGUUUUGUAUUCAUUAUUUAACAUUUUGCAUCAUUGAUUCAUGGUGAUUGUCUCUAGUUCUAAGAUCUUUGGGUCUAAGACCUUGAACCAACAUUAGGACCCCCUGGGCCAAUCAUCUUGUUUUGUGAGUGAAAGGGCUGAGACCAAAUCAGUUAAGGGACUUUUCAAGUGUAGUGAGUGAGAUGAUGGGAGAUGCCUGAGAGCUCUCGUGGUGGUUGGAGCUCAGCUUCCUCCAACCAAAAUUGGUGUUGGGGCAGAGACAGAGGAGAGCAGCAGCUGUUUGAUCCUGGCUUUAUCCCUUCUCCAGACCCUGUGGAAGCUUGUCUGCUGGAGUCCUCAUCUAACUGCUCUCUGCCCCUUGGAGUGAGAUCAUUGUUUUGCUAACAAGUUUUGGGGUGGAAAAGAGUCCUGUGGAUUUGUCCCAGAAUAUUGUCCGUUUAACUGAGGCUCACUCAUUGGAGAAACAGGGUGCUGUGGCCACACUGGGGAGGAAGUAACUGGCCCAGUGUUCUCACCUCAGCAGGACAGCACGGAAUGACCCAGAAUGACCCCGUUCGGGAUGAUCCUUGGCAUCGCCCUCUGUUUCUGACCUGUGGCAGAGGAAAGAAGGAGCAAGAAACACGGUGUCAGAGAGAGGGAUAAAUUAAGAGGCCAAACAUAAAGAACAUGAAGAACACUCAUGAUUGUUUUGUUAUUAGAAUUUGGGUUUACAUAUGUGUAUGUAUCUCGGAAGGAUAUUGUAAGGAAUAAAAUCAAUUUAUAUGUAUAAAGUGCUGAGAAUGGGACCUGGCAAUCUGUGAAUGUUAGCUAUAGUUACUCUUUAAUCCUAGACUUCACAUUUUCUUUCGGUGAGCCCCUCCUGGCCCAUUCCUCUCUGUGAUAAUCUGAACUCUUCCUGUUCCUUUUAAUCUCAGAUAAAUCUCCUCUGUUUUAUGAAACCAAUGAAACCAUUAUGUGUACCAUGCACUUAAUCCAUAGCAAGCCCUACUUUAUUGUGUAUUAGUUUUUCCUUAUGUACCUUUUGUCUGCCUCAAUUAGACUGAAGUCCUUAAGGACAGCAAUGCUCCUGUAUGAAUUCUUGUGUCUUCUGUGUCUUAUUCAGUGUUUUGUGCACAUAGUUCCUCAAGUAAUUUUUGUUACUGGGGCUAUGAAAACAGUCACCAAGAAGAAUUUGGAAAGAGCAUGAUGUAAAAGUAGAGAAAUCAUAUUUGGGCUAUGUUGGCUCCUACUCUGACCCUGAGGAAGGCAGAGCUUUCUUGGUUGGAAAGCUGGGAUGAUCACAGUGCUUUUUGUUGCUACCAUGUGGCUUUUCUUUGAAAUGUUAUCUCUGGAAACCACAUAGAAAUUUUCACUUCUCUUCCAGUUUAUCUGAUAAGGAAAAGAUGCUGACAUGUAUUUGCCAAUGCAAUUCCAAGGAAGUUUUUCUCCCACAAUCAUCUGCAAACCCCUCUGCAGAAAGUUCUGCAGGGUUUUGGCAUGAGGGUUGCCCAGCGCCUCAUCACCUCAUCGCCACACAUGGCUUAUCUGGAAGGCGGGCACUCUACGUGGGUCAGCGUUCCUGUGGUUGGCAUUCCUGCUUGGAUCCUGGUGGUGAGAUGGUUGCAGGAAGGUAAGUGCAGAGGGAGGGCAGAGAGAGAGAUGCAUGAAUGCAGCCCCAGCUUCUCUCAGCCUCAGGUGGAAGAGUCUGUCUAGUCUGGCUUAGCUUAAAGGAUGUGGGUUUGUCCUGAGGUGAACUUGAUGGGAAAAGUUUGCUCUAGUUCUGAACUCAGUUCUUGGAAACUCAUGCCAAAUGAAUAUCUGUUGAAUGAAGAAAUGAGUCAGUGAGGGAGGGAAUGGCCUUAAGAAAACCGAGGUUGGUUCAAGCCCUCAAAUUGAAAAUGUGAAAAAUGGUCUGCGUGUCUAUCAUAGUGGCUCAAGCCACAUCUUUAAUGUCUCCCCAAGUUUUAGAAUAAAAUGGCAUCAUAAACUUACACAAUCUUUCCAUCCAGAGCUCUAAGCCUUAUGCCAUCCUCUAAUCUAUUUCUAGAGCUGUCUAAGAUGCAAACGUGAUCACGUUAUGCUCACUCCUUCAAUAGCUUUUUGCCACACUCAGAAAACAUCCAAAGUCCUUGGGCAUAUCAUGCAAAGCACUCCAUGUUUCCCCCUCUACCUUUUUUCUUUUCUUUUCUCAUCUUAUCUAUUGUUUUUCAAUUCAGUAAAGUUCCAUUUCUCCUCCUUUGACUGUGGAAAGCUAUUUGUUGUCCUCCAAUAUGCAAGACACUCUCAAGCCUCCUCACCUUUGCAUAAAUGGCUCCUCUGCCAGGCAUGCGCAUCAGCUUUUAUUCCUCGACUAAUAUCUAUUCAUCCCCCAAGGAUUAACUCAAGACUUUCCUCCUGGAUGAAUCUUUCUCUGAUCUCUUUCUAGGUAGAGUUAGGGGCUCUCUUCUCAUAUUAUCCCAGCAACUUUUGCCAAUUUCCAUUAUAACAUACUUUCUUUUCUCCCAACACACCUAAUCAAUGAAAAGUAUUCCAUCAUACACAUGAGCAUAAUUUAGGUAGAGAGUGAUUGUUGUCCAUAAGUAUAAUUAUGAAAUUGUAAUUUAGUAUAAUGAUGAUAUUAUGGACAUUGAAGUUAAUAUUGCCUGAGUUUCCUUUACAGAGCCCCCAUUUUUUGAAUUGGGCUAGUUUGUAACCUCUUUAAGCCUCAAUUUAUCCAUCUAUGAAACCAAGAUAAUAAUCAUAUUCACCCCUUAGCUUCAUGUGAGUAUUAAGUGAAAUGUUGACGGCCAAUGUCCCAGCACAAUGCCUUGAACACAGUGUGUAUUUAAUAUUGUCGUGCAGACACAGAUGAAGAUAAAAUUUAUUUUUGUGUUCCCUGCUUCCAGCAAGAAAGGAGCUAGAAAAGCAGUUUGAACUCACCGAGGCUAACCUUUCCUAGAAGGAGGUUGAGAUGAGGGAUAUUCUUUAGAAUCACUCUAGAUGGCUAUCCUUAGAAGGUUAUUGCUUCAUUAUCUGGGGGAAACGGAUGGCAUAAGACUGUUUUGAGACCCAAACCCUGGGCUAGAAGGGAGAAGAGGAGGAUGGGGUUCUGGGUGCCUGCACUGGCAGACUUCUGAGCCAAACCUAACUCUGUGCUCUAGGUCUGACAUGCAGGUAGAGUGGGGUGUGUCCGUACAAGGAAGAAACACUGAUGUAAAAAUGCUGGAAUUGAGAAUUGGCCCUGACACAGAGUGCUGGGCUCAGGUCUCACAGCAAGCUUCUCCUUAGCUCUCAGUGGCUUACCACCCAGAGGUAGCACCCAAAGUGGAAUGCCCCUGGGCUGGAAUCCACCUCCUAGCCCAAGAUACUCUUAAACUGGAACAAAAUAGAGUCCACGAUCUUAGAUUGGUUCCCAUUACUGGUAGGUAGAAGAAUGGGCUUGUUCAUCAGGUAUCUGGAUUGAAACUGGAUUAUAUUAGUUGCAUAAGGAAACUUAGAAAGGGCUUGGGGACCCUCACAUUAUGAUAUCACCAUUAGUUAUUAAAUGAAUGGACUCUGUAAGAUGGAGUUGAUUUUGAGUUCCCUUGCUGUGUCCAAAAUGGGUUGGAUACACCACAGGCUGUGCAAGACAGUUCACUGAAGUGUGGGAGGAAAAUAUUAGAUCUUCUAUUUGUAAUUUUUAAUAUAUGUAUAAAAAUGUAUAAGUGUACUUACAAUAUAUAGUGUUUGGUUUCACGCAGACAAACCCCAAUAAAAUAGAUUAGUAGCACAAAAAAUAUUUUUGCAAAAAAAAAAAACACAACCCCCAAAUCUCUGCAAUGCUCCACAUCCUGAAGAUAACACUAACAGCAUAAAUACAAGAAAAUCCUAAAACAGGUCAAAAUUGACUCUUUUCUUAGUUUUAGUUGUUAAAAGAUAAACUGAGGCAUAUUAAAAAUGUUGAGUUUAUUUGAACAAAACUUGAUUUGCAUUAGGCAGCACCCUAACAGAUUGAAAGGAGCUCUGAGGAGCAGUACAAAAUGAAAGACUUUGGUAGGAAGAAGAGAACAGGAAUGAGGAAGUUGUACUAGGCAAAAGGCUGGGCUGGUUAUUGCUGUUAUUUUCCCUUAGGCAAUGGCAGGAAUCUAUCAGGCAGAUGACCCAACUAGUGUUGAUCAAGUGGUUCCUGACCUACUGGUUUAGAUUCCUUUCUGGGAAAGCUGAAACUGUAAUUAGGUCUCGGUGUGAUGAUGGGGGGGAGGGAUAAGCAUCAGCAACCCCUUUUGGGGCCUGUUGUCUUGUUUUUAACAUAGUAUAAACUUGUCAACCAUGAAAUUGUAUUAAAACAAUGAUGAUCUAAGCAGAUCUGACAGUAUGCUACAUUAAAGGUAUUUUUUUGUGAAAGUAAAUUCAGUAUCUUCUUUCAAGGUCAAGAAAGUAUUUGAUCAGUGAGUGAGACAAUAAUUGCUUUUCAAAAGAAACCCAUACUGUGAAAAAUGCUUUAUGAAAAUGAUGCUUCCAUUAAAUGUUGCUGUAAAUGAUUUUAUGUUAUCAAGUAUUAAUUAUUCUUUCUCAGUACACCAACAAAAUUAGAAAGUAGGGUUUUCUGAACUAUUUUUCAAAUCUUCCAAAAAGAUUUAGUGUAGUUUUGACCCAUUUGCUUAAAAUACGUAAAAGUGCAACACCUUGCAAUUCACUUACAAGAAUAAUUGAUAUCAGGACAGAUGUUAAUUUGCUAGUUAAUUUCAUUAAAAGUUUUAGCCUAAUUUGUAAUGACCUAACUACUCAAAUUCUAGCAGCAAAGAAGAGUGAACAGAGGUGUUAUUCCACUCCACUAUCUUUACAUUAGUAGGUAUCUUUCAAUGAGGCAAAACAGAGUCCAUCUCCCAGGUGGAAGAUAAUUUUGUGUCUACAUCAAAUAAUUUUUUCCCGACAGAUAUUAAGUCACAUAGAAAGUAUGACCACAACCGGUCAUCCUGUUUUUUCCCAAAUCGGAAGUUUGAGCCACAACUAUAUAAAUAUUUUUUUUUCUGGGACUCCAUGUUUCUGGGGAAUUUGCCUUCAAAAAUAAAUAAAUGGCCAUUAUUCAGUUAAAAUUGAACACAGACCCAGGGACUCAGGUUUUAGGAUUUACUGUGGGUAAGUCAUUUAAAUGAAAAAUACUAAAACUGACACUUUAUUUAAUCUUCAUGAGAAAAUCAGAACUGUGAUAUGCUCAAAAUCAUACACACACACACACACACACGUUUGGAAUUAAGAGAAAAAAGGAAAAAUUACACUGAUAUUAUUUAACUAUGUUUUUAUUUAUUUAUUUAUUUAUUUAUUUAUUUUUAUUUAUUUUUGAGAGAGGGAGAGAGACAGAGCAUGAGUGGGAGGGUCAGAGAGAGAGGGAGACACAGAAUUUGAAGCAGGUUCCAGGUUCUGAGCCGUCAGCACAGAGCCCAGUGCAGGGCUCAAACUCACAAACCAUGAUAUUAUGACUUGAGCCAAAGUUGGAUGCUUAACUGACUGAGCCAACCAGGCGCCCCUAUGUCUUUUAUUUAAUAGGGUAACAGGGGCUAUCUCAGCGGGUAAUCCAGAAACUGCUUCAGUUUCUAGGUAAAUUGCUUCUUGUUCAGUUUUUCUCCAGAGAAUUGUGCCUAUAGGUUGCAGCUCAAAAGAAUGCCAAACCUUCCAACUAUGGGCUGUCCUGAUUACUGCCCCACUUACCUCCAGCUGUCCCCCAAAUCCAACACACAUUCCAGCAGAGUACUGGGGAGGGGAAAAUAAAACCUAUCAGUUAGGAUUAGGUUCAUCUGAGAAUAAAAUGGACCACUUUUCUUCCCAUCCAACCUCCACAAACACAAAAAGUGCCUUAAAAAGAUAGAGGUAUCAUUCUCUCAUGUAAAACAAUUUCAGAGAUAAUAAGUCCCGGAAUGAUGACAACCUCACAGUCAUCAAAGAACCAGUCUUUCCCCAAGAUUCUGCUUCAACAUGCUUAAGAGUUGGUCCUUGUUUUUAUGGUUCAACAUGGCUGCUGGAGUUCAAACCAUCACAUCAGCAGGAUGGAGGGAAUGUAGGGGAGGGCUUUUUAAUCUAAGGAUUUGAAGUGUCCUGAAGUGUCACACAAUGCUUCCACUUACAUCAUAUGGCUCCAAAUUAAUCACAUGGCUAGUCCUAGCUGAAAGGGAGAUUGAAACAUAUUUUUUACUACAUUCCAAGCUAAAAGGUAUAUUUCUUAAU